GAUUAGAUACCCUGUUAUUAAGAGAAAUAAAUAUUAAUCUGUUUUGCUUGGGCACUACGAACACAUGUUUAAAACCCAAAGAACUUGGCGGUACUUUAAUCCACUUAGGGGAACCUGUCCUUUAAUUCGAUAAUCCACGACAACCUUAUUUAUUUUAGAACUUUUCAGCUUGUAUACCGUCGUCAUAAGUUAACCUUAAAAAGAAAAAAAGUUAACAACAAAGAUAAAUUUCUUUAAAAUUUCUCAUAGGUCAGAUCAAGGUGCAGCCAAUAAAUAAAGAAGAGAUGGGUUACAAUUAAUAAAUCUCAGUGGAGUUCUUCAUAAAAAAAUAAAGAACAAAAUAGGACUUAAAAGUAAUUCGUGAUAAUAAGCACUAAUGAAUAUAAGGAAAUAAAGUGUGUACAAAUCGCCCGUCACUC
rnacentral:rRNA from 1 species